rnacentral:misc_RNA from 1 species
UCCAGCUUAUCGCUGGCGGUCUCCUGCGAGUUCCGCCUUUCGGCAUGGCAACACAGGACAAGGGUUGCGCUCGUUGCGGGACUUAACCCAACAUCUCACGACACGAGCUGACGACAGCCAUGCAGCACCUAUACUACGGUCCUUUUAAGGGGAAAAUCUGCUUUCACAGACUGUCCAUAGCAUUUCGAGCCCAGGUAAGGUGGGGAUGACGUUCGUCUGAC